AAUUAUGGUCAGGUGUGAGACUGCUUUCAUUUUCUCUCCCCAAAAACAGCAGACACGUGACGAAGCCCACAGAAUAUGAUCCUCUGAGUGAAACUCAUCAAGCUGAGGGUGCCACACUCUGAGGAAGCUAUGUGUGUCCAGGGAAAAUAAAAGCACUGACAUCACAUGUCUUGAGGGGAAUGAGGGUAGAGAGGGACAGGAUAAAACCCAUCAGUGACUCAGGCUUUCAUCUGUGUCCUCCCCUUCCUGGAGACACACCGUGUCCCCCAUUAACCGAUGGGUGACUCCAGUUUGACUGGAGAGCCCCCUGCUGGCCCAAUUCAGUAACAACCUUCUCUCCAGUUGUCACCUGCACCGCUGCCAUAUGUCCGAGGAACAGGAAGAGAUCUGAGGAGAUGAGAAAGGGCAUAUUCAGGGGAAUAUGUUGGUUAAAUUUUGUCUACAGCAAUAUAGACUAAUUAUCCAAGUGCAAGAUGUAUACACCAAUAUUUUACACCGUAUAACUAAUAAUUGUUUCUUCAAAUUCUUACAUAUUUAAAAACAAAUAUAAUUUUUGAAAAUGGUUAACCAGAAUCUUUGACACUUUUGUUUGACCAUUGUAUAUGUUCAUGGAUUUAUUCUACUCAAAUGAAAGAUUAUAUACAUUGAAUUAAACUAAUAGUAAUAUCAAAAAA